UACGUAGGGUGCAAGCGUUGUCCGGAAUUAUUGGGCGUAAAGAGCUCGUAGGCGGUCUGUCACGUCGGCUGUGAAAAUCCCCGAGGCUCAACCUCGGGUCUGCAGUCGAUACGGGCAAACUAGAGUAUUGCAGGGGAGACUGGAAUUUCCUGGUGUAGCGGUGAAAUGCGCAGAUAUCAGGAGGGAACACCCGGUGGCGAAGGGCGGGUCUCUGGGGCCCGAUACUGACGCUGAGGAGCGAAAAGCGUGGGGAGCGAACAGGG
rnacentral:rRNA from 1 species